ensembl:snRNA U4 U4 spliceosomal RNA
AGCUUUGUGCAGUGGCAAUAUUGUAGCCAAUGUGGUUUAUCUGAGGCUAGAUUAUUGCUAAUUGAAAACUUUGCUCAAUACCCCACCAUGAGGACUUGAAAUAUAGUCAGCAUGGGAAAUUUUUGACAGUCUCUACAGAGA